rnacentral:rRNA from 1 species
UACGUAGGGUGCGAGCGUUAAUCGGAAUUACUGGGCGUAAAGCGUGCGCAGGCGGUUUUGUAAGCCAGAUGUGAAAUCCCCGGGCUCAACCUGGGAAUGGCAUUUGGGACUGCAAGGCUUGAGUGCGGCAGAGGAGACUGGAAUUCCUGGUGUAGCAGUGAAAUGCGUAGAUAUCAGGAGGAAUACCGAUGGCGAAGGCAGGUCUCUGGGCUGACACUGACGCUGAGGAGCGAAAGCGUGGGGAGCGAACAGG